rnacentral:lncRNA from 1 species
CGACAUCCUGACAGUCCAAUGACGCACAACCAACCCACACUCAGCAAUUCGGAGGGGAUAAAUCAAGGAGCCUGCACUUUCUGGGGUCCCCGAGCUUCGGCAAGGUGAAGCGAGCGACCGUGACCCCCCUCGCCUCUCAGCCUCCCCGCGACGACGCCUCCACAGCUUGCGGAGGAGCGGAGACCGCGGUCACCGCUGGGCUCCACAGCGGAACGCCGCGCACUCGGAGCCGGCGCGGCUCAGCGGGUUUUGGCUUUUUGCACUGAAUGUAACCAAGACUGAUCGUCUCAGUUGCCCCAGGAUACUGUCAGAGGGUUUCCUAGGUGUAAGCCCACAGCUUCUGAGUACGGCAGUAUAUUGUGGCAAUAGUGCAUAUCAGAACAAAACUGUUUACCUGUGUUAGUAAAAG